rnacentral:rRNA from 1 species
CUGGGAAUCGUGCGCAAUGGACGAAAGUCUGACGCCGCGACGCCGCGUGAAGGAUGAAGGCAUUCGUGUCGUAAACUUCUUUUGCCAAAUCUUAGCGGGUUUGGAGAAUAAGCACCGGCUAACUCUGUGCCAGCAGCAGCGGUAAUACAGAGGGUGCAAGCGUUGUCCGGAUUUAUUGGGCGUAAAGAGUUCGUAGGCUUCCUGUUAAGUCAUCUUUCAAAGACCAGAGCUCAACUUUGGAAAGGGGGGUGAUACUGGCAGGAUUGAAAUAUUUCGGGGUUACUGGAACUUACGGUGUAGGAGUGAAAUCCGUUGAUAUCGUAAGGAACACCAAGGGCGAAGGCGGGUAACUAGGAAUUAUUUGACGCUGAGGGACGAAAGCUAGGGGAGCGAAAGGGAUUAGAGACCCCUGUAGUCCUAGCCGUAAACUAUGCUCGCUAGGGAUUUGGAGUUUACUCCAAGUUCCGUAAGCUAACGCGUGAAGCGAGCCGCCUGGGGAGUACGAGCGCAAGCUUAAACU